rnacentral:rRNA from 1 species
UACGUAGGGCGCAAGCGUUGUCCGGAAUUGUUGGGCGUAAAGAGCUCGUAGGUGGUUUGUCGCGUUGUUCGUGAAAACUCACAGCUCAACUGUGGGCGUGCGGGCGAUACGGGCAGGCUAGAGGUAGGUAGGGGAGAAUGGAAUUCCCGGUGUAGCGGUGAAAUGCGCAGAUAUCGGGAGGAACACCGGUGGCGAAGGCGGUUCUCUGGGCCUUACCUGACGCUGAGGAGCGAAAGCGUGGGGAGCGAACAGG